rnacentral:rRNA from 1 species
GUGUCAGCAGCCGCGGUAAUACGUAGGGUGCGAGCGUUAAUCGGAAUUACUGGGGGUAAAGCGUGCGCAGGCGGUUUUGUAAGUCAGAUGUGAAAUCCCCGAGCUCAACUUGGGAACUGCGUUUGAAACUACAAGACUAGAAUAUGUCAGAGGGGGGUAGAAUUCCACGUGUAGCAGUGAAAUGCGUAGAGAUGUGGAGGAAUACCAAUGGCGAAGGCAGCCCCCUGGGAUAAUAUUGACGCUCAUGCACGAAAGCGUGGGGAGCAAACAGGAUUAGAUACCCUAGUAGUCC